rnacentral:rRNA from 1 species
UACAGAGGGGGCAAGCGUUGUUCGGAAUUACUGGGCGUAAAGGGCGCGUAGGCGGCGCGGUAAGUCGGGUGUGAAAUCUCGGAGCUUAACUCCGAAACUGCAUUCGAUACUGCCGUGCUUGAGGACUGGAGAGGAGACUGGAAUUUACGGUGUAGCGGUGAAAUGCGUAGAUAUCGUAAGGAAGACCAGUGGCGAAGGCGGGUCUCUGGACAGUUCCUGACACUGAGACACGAAGGCCAGGGGAGCAAACGGG